rnacentral:rRNA from 1 species
GACGAACGCUGGCGGCGUGCUUAACACAUGCAAGCCGAGCGACGCUCUUCCUUCGGGAGGAUGACGGAGCGGCGAACGGGUGAGUAACACGUGGGCAACCUGCCCCUAGCUCUGGGAUAACCCCGAGAAAUCGGGACUAAUACCGGAUAUGAAGUCGGAUGGCAUCUUCCGACUUGGAAAGUUUUUUCGGCUAGGGAUGGGCCCGCGGCCUAUCAGCUUGUUGGUGGGGUAAUGGCCUACCAAGGCGACGACGGGUAGCCGGCCUGAGAGGGCGACCGGCCACACUGGGACUGAGACACGGCCCAGACUCCUACGGGAGGCAGCAGUGGGGAAUAUUGCACAAUGGGCGAAAGCCUGAUGCAGCGACGCCGCGUGAGGGAUGACGGCCUUCGGGUUGUAAACCUCUUUCAGCAGGGACGAAGCGAAAGUGACGGUACCUGCAGAAGAAGCACCGGCCAACUACGUGCCAGCAGCCGCCGUAAAAC